CAAAAUGCAAUUCUUGUUUGUCGUAGCUCAAAAUACUACAACCCUGAUGGAUGUAAUCGAUAAUGAAUCUUAUCCCCAACUUUAUUCACUACAUGCAAGAUUGCGAACUUGGCUGAAUCAAAGAACACACGUUUAGUAGUUCUAUAGGUAGUGCCAUCUUCGUCCACGAUCCAACUAGCUUCAACAGAGAUAGCCUUAAGGACCUCCUUGUUGUCGCAGUGCUGGGGAAGCUUGCAGUUCCUUUGAGCUUGAAGGUCAACGUAUAUCUUAGCAGCAAUUGCUCCAAGGCCGGGGUGAUGGGAGGGGAUGAUGUAUUCCAGAUUGCAGAGAUAGGUGUAACGCUGGUCUUGUGGAACAUCGUGAGGCUUUUGGACCUGAAAGUUGGAGCUAGAUAGUGGAAGACGGGUGAAGCCAUCUGUGGGAUCAGAAGCAACCAAGGAAAGAGUUGUGAUACAAAGGAGAAAUGACAAAAAGGUUUGAUGGAAAAUGGAUUGAUACAACAUUGCUGCAGAUGAAGAUGGUUAGUUUUUUCCUCCAAUAUAUGUU
rnacentral:sRNA from 1 species